rnacentral:rRNA from 1 species
AGUAGUGGCGCACGGGUGCGUAACGCGUGGGAAUCUGCCCUUGGGUACGGAAUAACUCAGAGAAAUUUGUGCUAAUACCGUAUAAUGACUUCGGUCCAAAGAUUUAUCGCCCAAGGAUGAGCCCGCGUAAGAUUAGCUAGUUGGUGGGGUAAAAGCCUACCAAGGCGACGAUCUUUAGCUGGUCUGAGAGGAUGAUCAGCCACACUGGGACUGAGACACGGCCCAGACUCCUACGGGAGGCAGCAGUGGGGAAUAUUGGACAAUGGGCGAAAGCCUGAUCCAGCAAUGCCGCGUGAGUGAUGAAGGCCUUAGGGUUGUAAAGCUCUUUUACCCGGGAUGAUAAUGACAGUACCGGGAGAAUAAGCUCCGGCUAACUCCGUGCCAGCAGCCGCGGUAAUACGGAGGGAGCUAGCGUUGUUCGGAAUUACUGGGCGUAAAGCGCGCGUAGGCGGUUUUUUAAGUCAGAGGUGAAAGCCCAGUGCUCAACACUGGAACUGCCUUUGAAACUGGAAAACUUGAAUCAUGGAGAGGUCAGUGGAAUUCCGAGUGUAGAGGUGAAAUUCGUAGAUAUUCGGAAGAACACCAGUGGCGAAGGCGACUGACUGGACAUGUAUUGACGCUGAGGUGCGAAAGCGUUGGGGAGCAAACAGGAUUAGAUACCCUGGUAGUCCACGCCGUAAACGAUGAUAACUAUCUGUUCGGGCUCAUAGAGCUUGAGUGGAGCAGCUAACGCAUUAAGUUAUCCGCCUGGGGAGUACGGUCGCAGA